GGCCCAGUGGUGUAGUGGUAACGCAUCCUCUUCAUUUAGUGCACUCCCACAAGUCAGAGGAAGUGCCUUGUUCAAUUUGGGGCUGGGCCA